rnacentral:tRNA from 1 species
GGAGGAUUGGCCGAGUGGUAAGGCAGCCGUCUCGAAAACGGUGGUCGGCGCGAGAGCGUCGCGUGGGUUCGAUCCCUACAUCCUCCG